GAUGAACGCUGGCGGCGUGCCUAAUACAUGCAAGUCGAGCGAACGGACGAGAAGCUUGCUUCUCUGAUGUUAGCGGCGGACGGGUGAGUAACACGUGGAUAACCUACCUAUAAGACUGGGAUAACUUCGGGAAACCGUAGCUAAUACCGGAUAAUAUUUUGAACCGCAUGGUUCAAAAGUGAAAGACGGUCUUGCUGUCACUUAUAGAUGGAUCCGCGCUGCAUUAGCUAGUUGGUAAGGUAACGGCUUACCAAGGCAACGAUGCCUAGCCGACCUGAGAGGGUGAUCGGCCACACUGGAACUGAGACACGGUCCAGACUCCUACGGGAGGCAGCAGUAGGGAAUCUUCCGCAAUGGGCGAAAGCCUGACGGAGCAACGCCGCGUGAGUGAUGAAGGUCUUCGGAUCGUAAAGCUCUGUUAUUAGGGAAGAACAUAUGUGUAAGUAACUGUGCACAUCUUGACGGUACCUAAUCAGAAAGCCACGGCUAACUACGUG
rnacentral:rRNA from 1 species